UCCCUGGUGGUCCAGUGGUUAAGACUCCUUGCUUCCAGCGCAAGAGGCUCGGGUUCGAGCCCUGGUCAGGGAA